GACACAUGGAAAAGGUACAAAGAUCUUCUAAGAGAGUACCCACACUAUAGCAUUUAGGAUUGGCCCCUCGUACAAAACUUUUACAAUGGACUUCUACCAACAAGAAGCACUGUUGAUUCAGCAGCCUGUGGAGAUUCGAUGGAGAAAACCACUAUCGACGCUUUUUAUCUCUUAGAGAGAGUUGUCUAUCACAACUUUGAAUGAUCCAAUGAAAGGGGUGGCACAAGGACAGUUGGAGUAUUAGA
rnacentral:misc_RNA from 1 species